rnacentral:tRNA from 1 species
GGGUGCCUAGCUCAGUUGGUAGAGCAACCGGCUCUUAACCGGAAGGUCGUCAGGGUUCGAAUCCCACGGCACCCA